AACGAACGCUGGCGGCGCGCCUAAUACAUGCAAGUCGAGCGAGAAGACGUAGCAAUACGUUUGUAAAGCGGCGAACGGGUGAGGAAUACAUGGGUAACCUACCCUCGAGUGGGGAAUAACUAGCCGAAAGGUUAGCUAAUACCGCGUACGCUCCUUGGACUUCGGGUUCAGGGAGGAAAGCGAUACCGUGGGUAUCGCGCUCUUGGAUGGGGCUCAUGUCCUAUCAGCUUGUUGGUGAGGAACGGCUCACCAAGGCUUCGACGGGUAGCUGGUCUGAGAGGACGAUCAGCCACACUGGCACUGCGAC
rnacentral:rRNA from 1 species